AGCAGAUUGUCCCAGCGGAAGUGUACUGGGCCCAUAACCCAGCGGUUGAUGGAUCAAAACCAUCUUAUGCUG
rnacentral:tRNA from 1 species